CCUACGGGUGGCUGCAGUGGGGAAUAUUGGACAAUGGGCGAAAGCCUGAUCCAGCCAUGCCGCGUGUGUGAAGAAGGCCUUCGGGUUGUAAAGCACUUUCAGUGGGGAAGAAAGCCUUGGGGCUAAUACCCUCGAGGAAGGACAUCACCCACAGAAGAAGCACCGGCUAACUCCGUGCCAGCAGCCGCGGUAAUACGGAGGGUGCGAGCGUUAAUCGGAAUUACUGGGCGUAAAGCGCGCGUAGGCGGUCUGAUAAGCCGGUUGUGAAAGCCCCGGGCUCAACCUGGGAACGGCAUCCGGAACUGUCAGGCUAGAGUGCAGGAGAGGAAGGUAGAAUUCCCGGUGUAGCGGUGAAAUGCGUAGAGAUCUGGAGGAAUACCAGUGGCGAAGGCGGCCUUCUGGACUGACACUGACGCUGAGGUGCGAAAGCAUGGGUAGCAAACAGGAUUAGAUACCCGUGUAGUC
rnacentral:rRNA from 1 species